UGAGGAAUAUUGGACAAUGGGCGCAAGCCUGAUCCAGCCAUGCCGCGUGCAGGAAGACGCAUCUAUGGUGUGUAAACUGCUUUUGUACGGGAAGAAACACUCCCUCGUGAGGGAGCUUGACGGUACCGUAAGAAUAAGGAUCGGCUAACUCCGUGCC
rnacentral:rRNA from 1 species